GACGAACGCUGGCGGCGUGCUUAACACAUGCAAGUCGAGCGGUAAGGCCCUUUCGGGGGUACACGAGCGGCGAACGGGUGAGUAACACGUGGGUGACCUGCCCUCAGCUCUGGGAUAAGCCUGGGAAACUGGGUCUAAUACCGGAUAUGACUCCAUGACGCAUGUUGUGGGGUGGAAAGCCUUGUGCGGCUGAGGAUGGGCCCGCGGCCUAUCAGCUUGUUGGUGGGGUGAUGGCCUACCAAGGCGACGACGGGUAGCCGGCCUGAGAGGGCGACCGGCCACACUGGGACUGAGACACGGCCCAGACUCCUACGGGAGGCAGCAGUGGGGAAUCUUGCGCAAUGGGCGAAAGCCUGACGCAGCGACGCCGCGUGAGGGAUGACGGCCUCGG
rnacentral:rRNA from 1 species